AGGGGAUAGGUAUAUUUAAGCGACAGUCUUUGUUACUUACCCAACAGCAAAUAUUCAUAGUAAGUGAAAAAGACAAGAGGAAGAGACACUUUGACAAUUAAAACAAAUUCCAUUAGGAUGAGAUUAAAGCUCCUGUGAGGAGUUUUUGGUAGGUUAUUAAAUGUAUAGAAAUGAACAGUGAUGAAUCUCUAUCAUGUGAAAAAGCAAUGAGACUUGGUAACAAGAUAAAAUCAGCAAUUAUAUAAUAGUUACUAGUUUGUCCACAGGGGGCGCCAAAGUCACCACUGACAGAAAAUUACUCACAGGAGCUGUAAUAUUUCCGUCAAAAGGAUCUUAUCUGCUUAGCUACACUUUAAAGCAUGGUAAUAAUAAAACUAAUAACCACUCAGUGAAUUGUUUGGCAUUUAUUGUGCCAAUAUGGAGGUUAUUUAGUGUUAACAGAUUACAGUUGUAAAAGGACGGUGUCAAGAAAAAACGGGAAAUAGGUAAAAGUUAAACAUGUUUAUUACACUUUGUCUGCUCCCAAUGAUGUUUUGUUUCAGAUGCAUGGACAAAGGCAGACAAAGACAAAGUAGUACCCAAGAGCAAAUAGCUCUUCUCUUCUGCUGAUGCACAGUAUGUAAUACGCUUCUAAUUAGGCCUAUUUGCUAUGUGAGAGGGCUUUUAUUCCAGUGUUUGUCACAGAGAGAAGGACUGAUCUUUGAUCAUCUUCAAAGAUCAGAGUGAUGAUUAAUUUUCCAGCCUUUAUGAAGCAGUUUUAUCUUCAGGCUUUAGCAGAGGCAGAAGAAAAGAACACAGUCUUUCUUUGGUUUUGGAUAGUUUCAGAGUAUCUUAUGAGCUUGUGUAGCUCUUAAGUGUAAAAAAAGAAGACUGAAUCUUCUUCAGCCUUCACAGUUCAGUGUCACUUUGUGGUUUUCACAUCUGGUGAGUCACAGAGAGGAUUUAUCAGAAACAUAGAUGAUCUUGGAGUUACAAUGCUACAAAACAAGAUUAAAAAAACAAAAAAAAACCAAAUGUCUGACACAUGGGUGGCGAGUUUAAGUGGUGACAGCUGAAGUAAUUAUACAAAUACAAAGUCCACUUUCUCACAGCUUGAGGUUUAUUAUGAUAGUUCUGGUAAUUGGGAAAAAAGAAACAUGUACCAAAAAUAUUUUCUUACAUCCGAUUCUUUAAAACAUUACACAGUUAUAAAACAUACACAUAUAAGAAAAAUCUUUCUCUAGUGGAAAUAUUUAGAUCUAUCACAUCAGGAUGAGCUCAGAAGCUGAAUUCUUACAUGCUCGCUUUAUUUGGCAUACCAAGCAUAAGUGAGUUUGACAGCUUUAUUCUGUAACCAAAACUAAAAAACGAACAGAUUUUUUUCUCCUUGUUGGUUUAUUCAAUUAUUGUUAUUCCAAAGUUACACAAAAAGGCACAAAUCACAGACUUCCUCAUGACUAUUUCAUUUUCUGUUGUCUUAUUAUCAUGGCUGCCUGGAUUGUGUGUGUUUUACUCUUUGAACACAAGAGGGCACUAUUUAUCAAGCUAAGGCUGUUUGAAUGAGUCAUGUCAGAGGAGGAUCUUGCACUGAUGUCUUAAUUAUACCCACAUGAAAAACACGGCUAAAAGUAGGUGAAACGUCAACUCCCUGUGGUCAGUCCCCCAUAUAUUAUAAUCUUAAUGUAUGUGUUCUCCUAAAGGAAAAAAACAAGAACUAACCUCAAGAUUGUGAGAAAUGGGAAAAAAUGAAAAUUCAGUGUUGGAAAAACUGUGACUGAAUACAGAACAAAAAUAAAUGAACAUACAAAUGAAAUACAAUUAUUCUUUGGUUAUAAUGUGCAAAUUCAAAGAGCAUUUUAGGGGUCCUGGCAUACAAAAUGAUAAACUAGUAAUUAAUAAUGUGAUGAGACGGCAGUAAUGAAUCGUGGUUGACAUACAUGUGUGGCUCUUUGACUUUGCCAACUUUACAACACUCAUCUUACUUGGCGUUUUCUUCAGAAAAUCGAUGUGUUUGAUGCCAAAAGAGCUAUGAAUUUAUCAGGGUGAUCAAUGGAUCAAAACGAGGAGCAAAUCGAACUGGAAAGACAUCAAACAGAAUCACAGUUUAAUGGAAAUGUCAUCCAAGAAGUGCUUGUUGUGACGUACUAAAGCACAGUAUCAGGACAGAGCAGCUUUUGAGAACUGUCUAAAACACUUAUGGAUAUACUGAUACAAUACACAGACACAAAGGUUUUUCCCACCACCGUAAUCGUGGAUUUAACUCUUUUGUGUUUGUAUUUUCUGUGUGGGGUCAGACAAACCUUGUGAAACAGAUUGAUUGGCCGGUCUGUCAACAUGCAGGUCCAUCUUGUAAAGCUGACACACUUAUCCCCAGUCAGAGAAUGACCCGACCAGUCAGCAUCAUUUAGUGGAAAGAGACAGAGGCGAUGUUGGAUGCAGCUUUAGUGGCAAUUUUAUCAAAAAAGCUUGGUGAUUGUUGUUUAUGAGGUUUACUUCAUUUACAAAUUGUUAGUGAAAUAACAAUAAAGCUGCAUAUUCCCAUAUAUGGGCAUUGAAGCCAUUAUAUAUAGGUGGGGAAAGUCCCACCUACCUUCAAAGUGAGCUCAAAGACCCCCUUUUUCGUCUCUCAAAGCACUUACAGUCAAAUCCAAUCCACUGUCUCAUUACUUAAAUAUUUAAACCAACGAAACCCCAGUCCAAGUUUAAACUGUCACACAUUCAGCUUUUUCUCUGUAAGUUUGUAAUGGACCCUAGAAGGGGGGUGGGGAAUAACUGGAAUAAAUUAAAGCCACCGUGAUUGGUUAAUAUGACAAUCCAAUCAGUGAAUUAAUGAGUUUCCUUAACUGUACGCACAACACAGAGGUCAGAAAUGGAACCUUCAAAGAGGUAAUUCACAGCGGGUAGGCACGGUUAUCAUGACAAAUUACCGAGAUGACUGGAUGUUUCAGGGCAACAAGGCCCACUGACAACAAGGGCUGUGUGAGUGGGUAGUAUGAAUGCAAAUACAUGCAUCAUGAGUAAAAGAGAGAGGUCUGUGGUUUCUCUGCAGUCCUAUGACAGGUAUACUCUACCACUGCAUUAGUCAUCUGCGACAUUCAGUGCAAGAAUUUUCUCAUUACAUCACCCCGCCUACUUUUUUUUCUUCUGAUGCAAUUUGUCUCGUGUAAUAGGACUGUCUUUGGACAGACAUAUAGUCGAAGGCCUUGUACCUGUCAAGCUCAUGUGACAUAGUUUACACCUCAGCUGGGCACACACCGACUAUGUCAUAUGUUUUUGUUGCUCUGAUUGGCCCAUUAGAAAUAUGACAACUAGAACGUUCCUUUAACCACCCAUCAAGUAUUUUUCUCGGUCCUGCCCUCCUCUAACGACCUCUAUGGAGUUGUCCACAUCAAUGUGAAAUAUGUUUCAUGCCAUGUGUGUGUGUGAAAGAGUCUAUCUGCCAUGUGCGUUUGCAUUUCUGUGUAACAAAUCAGCCUUAUGGCACAACUUCCCUCAUAAAUAGGAAGUAGGAAGAGGAAGCUUAUUUACUAUGGGUGGCAGUAACAUAGACAUAAUAUAUGUAGAUGCCUCAAAGCUUGACGCUGCCUAUUGGAGCUCUCGUAUUGGCGGCCGCCAUCUUGGAUGGGUUCGCCGUGCACCUCCGGUGCAUUAAGGAAGUAGGAAUGCCCAACCAUAUUAACAACUCUCCGAAUCUCUGCCUGAUUUCUACACCGUUUGGUUUGUUACUAAUGGCAGGGAUGUAGCCAUAAUACAGGACAAUGUCUCAUAUUAAAAAUAACCAAACUUAUUUUUCAAUCCUGUUUGGGAAAUCUAAUCCUACGUGAUCAGGUUUCAAUACUGCAUUGGGUGCAUAGUUGCUCGCUCUCCAUUCAGCUCCCCCCAAGUGGGGAGACCCAUCCAAUAAGGCGGCGACGCUGGAUUAUGCCCCAGCACGUAAUGAAGCGUCUACAUGUAUAAUGUCUAUGGGCAGUAAUGCAGUUAAAUGCUGCCAUAAUACCUCAAAGCAGUAGAAGAAGAAAUCUCAUGUCAGGCAAAGAGGAAGACUUCAGUGUCAACAUCCUGCUGCUGAGCCUAAGAAGAGUUACCUCUAAGUUUGAAUGUAAAAGUAAGUUGUUCAACAAGGUAAAUUCAUUCAGAUCGUGCAAAAUUAAUGACAAAUACAAA